rnacentral:rRNA from 1 species
UACGUAGGGUCCGAGCGUUGUCCGGAUUUACUGGGCGUAAAGAGCGUGUAGGCGGCCAGGCAGGUCUGUUGUGAAAACUGGAGGCUCAACUUCCAGACGUCGACAGAAACCGCUUGGCUAGAGUCCGGAAGAGGAGAGUGGAAUUCCUGGUGUAGCGGUGAAAUGCGCAGAUAUCAGGAAGAACACCGAUGGCGAAGGCAGCUCUCUGGGACGGUACUGACGCUGAGACGCGAAAGCGUGGGGAGCGAACAGG